rnacentral:rRNA from 1 species
CCUACGGGGGGCUGCAGUGGGGAAUAUUGGACAAUGGGGGGAACCCUGAUCCAGCCAUGCCGCGUGUGUGAAGAAGGCCCUCGGGUUGUAAAGCACUUUCAGUGAGGAAGAACGCCUGGUGGUUAAUACCCAUCAGGAAAGACAUCACUCACAGAAGAAGCACCGGCUAACUCCGUGCCAGCAGCCGCGGUAAUACGGAGGGUGCGAGCGUUAAUCGGAAUUACUGGGCGUAAAGCGCGCGUAGGUGGCUUGAUAAGCCGGUUGUGAAAGCCCCGGGCUCAACCUGGGAACGGCAUCCGGAACUGGCAAGCUAGAGUGCAGGAGAGGAAGGUAGAAUUCCCGGUGUAGCGGUGAAAUGCGUAGAGAUCGGGAGGAAUACCAGUGGCGAAGGCGGCCUUCUGGACUGACACUGACACUGAGGUGCGAAAGCGUGGGUAGCAAACAGGAUUAGAUACCCCUGUAGUC